CAGAGGGUGCAAGCGUUAAUCGGAAUUACUGGGCGUAAAGCGUGCGUAGGUGGUUCUUUAAGUCAGAUGUGAGAUCCCUGGGCUCAACCUAGGAACUGCGUUUGAUACUGAAGAGCUAGAGUGUGGUAGAGGAUAGUGGAAUUCCCGGUGUAGCGGUGAAAUGCGUAGAUAUCGGGAGGAACAUCAGUGGCGAAGGCGGCUAUCUGGACUAACACUGACACUGAGGCACAAAAGCGUGGGUAGCAAACAGGAUUAGAUACCCUGGUAGUCCACGCCGUAAACGAUGGGCACUAGACGUCGGAAGGUUUAAUCCUUUUGGUGUCGCAGCUAACGCAAUAAGUGCCCCGCCUGGGGAGUACGGCCGCAAGGUUA
rnacentral:rRNA from 1 species